CCAAGUUCCGUGAAUUACAGGUUAGAGAACACUCUUCUAGCAAGCUCCCCAUUCCCUUACUCAGGCUCAAGAUCUAUCACCUGUACCUGGGAACCUGGGUGAAGAAGCCUGUCCAGGUGGUUCUUUGUACCUGGGGGUAUCUGACCCUCCCUGAUUCCUUUCCACCUUCCAUAUGCUCCCCUCUGACUCACUUCUGUUGUAGCCAAGAGGGCAAUUGUGGAGAGGUUGUUUAAAACAACCUCUCACACACACCAAACCCUAUAAUCAUCCAAAGUGGUCAUUUGAUCUACGUGGGAAGGCAUGCACUCCCGUCGGCUUCCAGGCACCAGGAAGUGACACCAGCAAGCAAGGAAGCCACACCACUAAUAGGAAUAACUGCCAUCUGUCACAGGAUGCCUGCUGGUCACCAGGCAUUUCACAUGCACCGUAUCAUUAGUCUUCACAGCAAACCCUGAGGGAGGCCUUACAGGCUGUGUGUUAUAGAUGAAGGAACGAGGGUCAGCAAGGUGAAGGAACUUGCCCACAUCCUCCACAGCUACUAGGUGGCAGCGCUGGGAUUCUAGCCAGGUAUGUCUGACUUGGGAGCCUGGGCCCUGGCCAUUCAGCCAGGCUGACACCCAAUUUGAUAUAGUCAUUUGAAGAACACAGAAAGUAACAACAGUGAAUUUUGAGUCAUAAAGACUGAAGGACCCCCAUUCAAUAGAGACUUUGUUCAGGGCCUCAGAAGCCCUGUAGAUGUUUUUGAAUAGUAGGUUAUUCUCUUUUCUCUGGCAAAAUUCAGCAAGUGUUUACUGCGGACCUGCUAUGUGCUAGGAAAUGUGCUGGGUUCCUAAAACACACAAUAAUAUUCAAUAUUGUUCUUCAGAACUCCAAGUCUGACUACCACUUAUAACGUUGACUGUGUGACCCUGGGAAAGUUAGUUACCAGUCUUGUACCCUCACUUUCUUAUCUGUGUUCUGUAUGUCAUAAAUAGCUGAGAUAAAUGUAUCAAACAACUAGCCCAGCGCAUGACCUAGGAUAGGUGUGUGAUCUCUGGUAUUAGAAGCAGUUGCAAUUACCAUGAUUGUUUUCCUUGCUUGGUCCACACAAUCCCUUCCCCAUGGUCUUUCCUUUAUCCCCAUCAGCCUAAGGAUCCAGCCCACUUGCUUCUCCUCUCCCCAGUAAGCCACCUGAGGUUCCCUGGGCUUCCUUUCAUCCCCCAUGGUAUGUGAAAAACAG
rnacentral:lncRNA from 1 species